rnacentral:piRNA from 1 species
UUACUUCAACUAUAUGAACAG